rnacentral:rRNA from 1 species
CCCCUAGAUGUUCUGGGCCGCACGCGCGCUACACUGAACAGUUCAACAAGUCUUAACCUUGGCCGAUAGGUCUGGGUAAUCUUUGAACGCUGUUCGUGAUUGGGAUAGACCUUUGCAAUUAUGGGUCUUCAACGAGGAAUUCCUAGUAAACGCAAGUCAUCAGCUUGCAUUGAUUACGUCCCUGCCCUUUGUACACACCGCCCGUCGCACCUACCGAUUGAAUGGUCCGGUGAAAUCUCGGGACGGCGGCUUGGUCGCUUGCGUCCGACUGCUGAAACUUGAUUAAACCAUAUCAUUUAGAGGAAGGUGAANUCGCANCA